UGCUGACCCGCCGAUGGCACCCACAAGCAGGACUCAAUGCACAACCAAAAGACUCUUCACUGAAGACGAACCGCAAAAAUGUGAAGGCGGAGGUCUGGAGAGCUGAUACGGAUCAGAACAAACUGUCAGUGACGGCUGAGACGUGGAAUAAAGACAGACCUGCAAACAUCAGGCGAGUAUCUGUUAGAGAAUCACAGCCGGCAGACAAACCCGAGGCUCAGGUAGACACGGGAGAACAGAAUAUUCAGGCAGAAAAUAUUCGUCAGCAAAACCGACAAACUGAACCGUGUUUAUCAGAAGCUAUCCAGCGACUCAUGAGUGAGAUAAAUAAGCAAACACACAUCCAGAUAUAGAAAGUAAACAGGAAAGAAAAUCAACACACAGGGGAAGCAUAAAGAGCAGAAAAACUCCAGGAAGGUAAGGAAGAGACACAACUGGACCAUGAAAGAUGAAAAUAUGUGAUCUGUCUCCGUUAAACAGUUUUGUUUUUUUAUAGCAGCUCUGUCUGAGAGCCGAAUACAGUCAGACAACUCAUGUAAAACACCGCUGCAACGAUACAAAAGCCCCUUCCUGCUCAAAUCUAUGUGUCCUCUCAUGUGUGUAAUCACAUCUGAAGUCUGCCCAAACUGUAAAACAGCUGACAAACAUUUCAGACGUGUAGGAGGUCAAGAACAUUUUCAAACAAGGAGACUCGAGCAUGAAAUGAUCAUGAAACAACGGCUAUUCUAGCGGAAAUUUUUCCCGUAUUUCAAACCUGUUUAGACUCAAAAUAAAAGUUUAAUCUAAAGUUGGUCUGCUCAGCUCAUGGUAGGAGAAGUGGUUGACCUGUUCUUGACUGGUUUGGAUUUUUCAGCUUUAUGUGCUUCACAUAGGUAGGUACUGUACCAAAACAAUCGACAAACACAUCAGCAAAAUGGAUUGUCUAUCAAACGAUGAAAACACAGACAGAUUUACAUCUCUUUUUUACAUCCCGUAACUUCCUUAAACACAUUUAUAAGACGUUCAACUUUUGAGUCAAAGCCUGAGGUGCAAACUGAGGAGCAUGCCCAGAACACUCACGCUAGCUUAGGUCAGAUUGAGGCGUACAUAGAGGAGACAAAAUCAAUUCCCAAAUGCAUUAUUGGGGUAUGUUAGUCCGACUUUAAGAAAUGUACCCAGGAUUUCCGCCACAUCCAGAACUGCAGCGAUUUUCGCUGUACGCCAAUUCCUACCGGGUCCAUUUGUGAGACUAAUUUCGUGGCGGAAUAUGGUCACCAGGAAUUGCAAGGACUUAGAAGAAUCCGCGGAUUCACGUGUAAUUGCGCGAUAACAAGUUGUCUCUAUAAAGACAGACACAUAACCAUAUAAGGAAAUGUACUCUAGACUUCUAAAAUCAGCAUUUCCUCAUUCAUGGUGUCAUCGGGGCGACAUGACGUCUGUAAACCUUUCACUUGUUCGUCUCCGCCCAUUUGCACGGUGUGAAAUACGAUCCACCUGAAACACGGGGUGUUUUAUUUUGAAAAGGAGCCAGAUGUUUUAUUUUGUGUCUGUGCCCGACUUCCUUUCCAGCACGGGUUAAUCUGUGCUGAGUUUAUCAGGUAUGCUGCACUGUCCGGAAAAAAUGGAACUCUUGCGAUCAGCUGCGGAGUCCGGCAAUCUGCAGAGGAACGGAAAGAAGCCGGUGGAAAUUGACACGUUAACUUGAAUGGUUAUGAUCAUCUACGACCGGCGGAUACGGCCUUUUCGUAGCCGUUCUGGAUGCAGUGGAAAUUGGGGGUUAAUGUGAUUCUAGUCGGGCAUGUAUUUAAAAUUCCAGAAAAUUACCACAUAAGCAUGCCCUACCAGCAGGUGGCGAUAAUGAGCAAUCAUUCUGUCAUGUCCAACAUGAAUAGAGAACAGUUUGUUGUACAGAGAGGUGAAUCAUCACCUCCAGAGGCUUUUUUUUUUUCUUUAUAAAGCUCAGUUUUUAGCGUCCUUAAACUUUCAUGUGACAAAAGGCCAAAACUAAGAAAAAAACACCUCUGUACUUGCUUGAAGUGACUCGCUUCUUCAACAUAAAACUGUUCCUAUAUGUGAGCAUUAUUUGUUCACAGCUUGUAUAUUUAGACGUGUUCUUAUUUCUGCCUCUUAGUGCGGCGGUAACACUAUUUCCCUGCAGGGUUGCAUCUCUUCCGAAGACUGGUGCUGGCCUCCCCUGCCACCAGAUUACACAGCUCUUAAAAGUAAAAUGUCAGAGUCAGAAAUGUUUGAUAUCUCCAUUCAGCUCUGGAUAAAACGUCCAGGGUCCUAAGGUAAAAAAGGGACGCAACAGACCUCCCUUUAGUUCUACUAAUGCUGCCCUGAGAGGGAUUAGGAGAAAAAACAGGACAGGAGAGAAACGCGAUGGAGGAUUGGGGACAAGCUGAAGGUACUUAAUUUAACAUGAAGACCAGCAUACAAUAUUUAAAGGUGAGGUACUUUUUUUCAAUGUAGCCGGCAGUUUAUCUCCACAGAGAAGAAGGUAAUCCUUCACAAUCUGUUAAGCUGGUGUCACUUGAUGGUGUUUCUUCUUUCACAGAGAGAUGUAGAGUUUAUUAUCCUUAAAAAAUACAAUCCAAGCGCGGCCCGUCAGAUUCAGAGGGAGGAGGAAACCUGUGAUGAGUCAAAAAUAACCCAUGCAGGAGGGUUUUAUUCACCGUAUUCAGUCAUAGUUGGUUUUCCUCUCAUGUCACAUUCAGGUGAGAAGCUGUUACAGAAUUAUACUGCUGUGUUUCAGGUGUGGACAUCAUGAGUUUUCAGAGAGAUAUGGAUUAUUUUGCCUUUUUUGGGCUCAUUGGCUCAUGAAAAGAGAGAACAGUAAAAAUCCUGAGGGUUAAGGUUGUACAUUUAAACUGAAACUACAAGAAACUACACAUCAGCAUUUCUAACCUUAACCCCAACCCUGGACCCCUAAUUCUGUAAGCCUAACCCUGACAUUUACCCCUUUUAUCUAAACCCUGAAUUCUAACCAUGUUAAUCCUAACCCCAAUCCUGAAAACCUAACUCUGUAACCCUGACCAUCUAACCCUAAUUCUAACCCUUACUUUCACCCCGUCUUAUUCUAAUCCUGAAAUGUAACCCUGAAACCCAGAGCUUAACUCUCUAAACCCUAACUUCAACCCUUACCUUUACCCGUCUUAUCCUAACCCUUGCCCUAACUCCUGUCUAACCUUUAGCCUCUAACCCUAACUCUAACCCUUACCUUUACCCCUGUCUUACCCUUGCCCUAGGCUCUGUCUAACCCUUACCUGAUUACUAACUCCUAACCCUAACUUCUGUCUAACCCUUACCCCUGCCGAACCCUAACCCUAACCGGCCAACCCAAUCAUUAAUCCCAACCCAAACUUCUUUCCAUCCCUAACCUUAUUACUAUACCCUAACCCUAACCUCUAUCUAACCUAGGCCUGUCACGAUAACAAAUUUUGCUGGACGAUAAUUGUGCGACAAAUUAUAGCCGAUAAACAAUAUUAUUGACACCGUUUUUUAAAUUAUAGAUAAUGAUAUUAAAUGGCAUAAUAAUGCGAGUGCACCGUGUCAAAAGUGACAAACUUUAAUUUCCACACGAGAUAAACACUGGUUGUUUUCGUUGACUAAAAUAUUUCCCUUUUCUCCCACGACGAAGACGUAACGUUGACGAGCUAAACAUAAGUCGGAGAUGACUAAAAUGUGACGAGACGAAAGUGCGUUUACGUUGAUGGGACGAGACGAAAAUGACGAACAGAGUUGCAAAACUCAGUCAGUUAAACGCUAAACAUAUAGGAGCAGCUUCAGUCCGCUCUGACAGCUCUCAUCAGCCUGCUGUGCUCCUCCAACACAGACACACGCGCGCGCACACACGUGGAGUUUUGUGGUUGACGAAAACAAAACUGGUUUAAAGCCGAAAUAUUCCCACACUUGGGCUGCUGCGUUCGGUUUAGACACCAAAGCUGUCGUGUUCAUUCUGUUUGCUUGCUUUUCACUCACGACGCUCACUUGCGGCACUGUAUCCAAAAGUCUGUGUCUGUGUGCCUGUGCGCGCCUACGUGUAGCUGUGCGCGCGCCCCCUCGUGACAAAGACACUGAAUGACUGACAGGAGGGUUCACUAACUCCGUUCAUUCCGCUAUAGAGCCAACGCCCCCAGGUGCCGAGAAAAAUGCGCAGAGUGAGACCUCUUCUCUCAACCAGCGUGUUUGGUAGUGAGAGAGGAGGAAAACAAACGCACGUCAAUUAUCGAGGCUGGCAAAAUGACCGACCUCGUUUUUAUUUAUCGAGCGAUAAGGCGAUUUAUUGAUUAUCGCGACAGGCCUAAUCUAACCCUAACUCUUGUCCAACCCUAACCCGCGAACCCUAACUCAAACCCUUUCCUUUACCCCUGUCUUACCCUUGCCCUAGGCUCUGUCUAACCCUUACCUAAUUACUAUAUCCUAACCCUAACUUUUGUCUAACCCUUACCCCUCCUGAACCCUAACCCGAACCGGCUAAUCCAAUCACUAAUCCCAACCUUAACUUCUGUCUAACACUAACCUGAUUACUAUAUCAUAACCCCAACCCUCAUCUAACCCUAACCCCUGUCCAACCCUAAUCUGCUAACCCUAUCAUUAAUCCUAACUCUAACCCCUGUCUAACCCUCUAACCUGAUCACUAAUCCUAACCCCAACUCCAAUAUAAUCCUUACCCCUGUCCAACCCGAUAACCUGAUAACUAAACCCAAACCCUAACCCUAACCCUGUCUAAGAUAACAAACACAGGUCAAACUUGUUGUAAUGUUUUAUAUCCACAGCUGUUUUUGGUUCCAACUUAAUUUACUAUCUAUUAUUUAACUGAACUGAAAUUGUUUAUUUUGAUCAGACUGAAAAGAAAUAAACUUAUUUUUGUUAAGUAUCUGAAAAGGAGAGAAAGUAACACCUAUAGUCAGACCCUUUUUAUCCACCAACAUAUAUAAUAAUCAUCUCUUAUCUGAUAAUUAAAUCUGUUUAGUAAUCGUCUUUGUUUAAUAAUAAUUCAUAAAUAUAAACUUAACAUUUAUAAGUUAAUCAUCAUAUAACUGAAGCUCAGAUGUAGCUUAGAAGCUGUUGAAUGCUAACGUUAUGUCAGCUGCUCUCUUUAAAAAGCUAAUGGGGUCAAAAAAUUUAAUACUUUAUUAUAUACUCUCUUAUACUGUAUGUCAUAAACGUCAUGUAAGGACGACCUGUCUUCUGUGGGAUUAAAUCAAACUCUACGUUAACAUGUUAGCAAUGUUAAUGUUAGCACCUCAGGGAAACUCAAACACUUGAAUCGACAUUUCAGACAUUUAUACAGUAAAUGAUUAAAAUUAUGUCCCUUUGUCCCUCUUUCUUUCCAUUGUGCACUAAAUUUUUGUAAGUCUCUUUCUACUGCUGUGUAAAUCCUGAACACAGUAGCCUUAAGUUAUAACAGUAUGUUAGCUCCUGAAGUAAUGGAGAAAUGCCUGCUGAGAAAGUAUAGUAAUUUUCUAUCAUUAAAGCAUGUUAGCGCGAUGUUACUUCCUCGAAGAAAGGAACAGGACGAAUCAAAAGUUCUGAAUCCAGAGACUUAAAUAUAAUUACUGAAUUUACCCAGCGCACACAGAGAGAUAAAGAGCAACAGGUCCAGAAAUACAGCAGUGAACCUUUAUGAAGAAGAAAGAGCCUGAGAAACAGAGAGGACAGAGUUCAGAUAAGGUGCAGUCUUCAUUUUCCUCCCUUUGGAAGUAACAGCCAACUUAUAAUACAAAGAGAGACUCUUCAGGCGCUGCUUCAGUGGCAUCUCAGCUCUGCUCUUUCAUCUCUGAACACUCAGCUGAAAACUGACACAACCUAAAAGGCACAUCCAGAGCAAAAAGGAGAGCUGAUGGGGUUCAGCUGCCGUUUGUUGUCUCAUUAGGUUGCUGUGUGUGUCUCUGCCUCUCGACCGGUGCUGUACUCUGGCACCGCUGAAAAACAGACUCUCCCCAUCACUCAAGAUCCAAGAUAUAUUCGACACGAGAGCCGUGGUGAGCUACAGCGAUUCUUCACUUCUCUCUUUCUUGUCACAGUUGUUAUGAGAGUAUCAAAGAUUUGUCAGUCAAAUGAGUCUUUCUUCUUCUGUCUCCUCCAGUCAAACGACACAGUGAUGACAGAACCUUUAUCCCCCUGAUGUUGUUAUCUGUGAGGCGCCAUUCCUGGAAAGAAGAAGUCGGAUUUACUCACUGAAGUCUCAAAGUUUGGGUCACGGGUCCAAGGCGAGUAAAAUCAUUCGCACAAAUGAGUUACAUGUUAAAGGGAUAUUCCGGCAUAAAAUUUAGUUGGGGUCAAACACACCAUAACACUGAGUUAGACACCCCCGCCAAGAGAUGAUGUCGCCGACCGCUUGCUUCUCUAGUUAUACCAACUUUAGUAACGACCGCAGGAUAGCCAUAAACCUCAACCAAAUCGCCACUCUAUAGCCACAAGUAAUGCUCAGAACAGCUCCUAACUUCAUCAACAGUCCCAGCAAAAGCAUAAGCCACCAAACAUCUUUUUAACUUUGACUAAUUUCUUUAGCAAAGAGACUAAACACAACUCACCUACUCUCUUCCAGUAGCCGUUUGUUUGUAGCGAGUCCUCAGGCCAGUCCAUUUAAGUCAAUGCAAAGAUGCGAUUAGACGCUCGUACUACUCUGGCGUCGCAAUAACCAAUCAGCACGAAGGUUGCCGGGUGACGUUUGAAAACAGACAGUUGUUCAAACUGAUCAUGUUGGUGUGUGGGUGCCCCGACUUACAUGAUACCUUUUCUUUCAAUUACCGAAACCAGAUUAAAAAGGAGCUUACCUUGAGGCAAGUGUGACGGCCUGAGGGUCUGUCUUUGGUGCAUCCUGCUUUCCCCUGUUUUGCUGGCUCUGUGUCUUGUUGAAGGUAGCUGUGGGUGGAGCUAACCUGAGAGAGCGCUUGAUGGUGAUGCGGCACACCUGAGCAGGGUGGGGCUCAGCUGGUUUUAAAGCUGAGCUGCACCACAGUCUGCUCUCUCUUCUCUCUCCUUUUUUGAGCCUUGUUGUGACAAAAUGGGGGCUCGUCCUAUUUACUACUUGCUUGGGUGAGUUUCUUAUACUGUUUAAGAAGCUUGUUUGUAUCUGCUGUUCCUCUAUCUUGGCUCUUGAGUGCAUUUGUAAGAGUUUUGGCUUGUGUUUGGAGGAUAGGGGGGUGGUUUUGAUCGGUGAAUUUAUUAGUCUUGUUAUGGCAUGUGCGAGGUAGUUUUGGGAGGCCUUGUAGUCUGUAUGAUGCUUUUGGUCGUGAAUGUGGUCAGCUUGGUUGGGGUUUCACAACUUUUAUUGGUUUAGGAUUUGUUUUGCCCUGCUUUAGUCCUCAUUAAGUCUCCACAAAUAACAACAAACCAUGUUUUAGCUCCCAAAUGGAGAGAGUUGAAACUGUAGAAACAUGAGGGGCAGUGGGCACCAGUCGUUAUCCCCUGACUACACCCCUGGAUCAAGUGUGAACUCCCAUUUUUUUAAGACGACGGUUUUUUGGAGGAACUUUCAGCCAAUGCCAUGCAAAGCAUCACAGUAAUCCCAUGGUUGAAAGUAAUAUGAAGCUUAAUUUCUUGCAAGAGCACAUUUUUUAAUAAUGUCAACAGAGACACAAGGAGAGAUCAAGUGCUGCCUGAGUGAAUUAAAGACAGGGAGUGCUCAAACGUCUCUGUGCAUGCAUAUUUUACUUUUUUCAUCGGUGCAUAAAAAUAUCAGGUGGAAUUCAAUCAUUUGGGUUAAAUUAUUGAAGAAAUACUUUGAUACUUAAAGUUCUGCAUCUUUGAAUAUGAACCUAUACGCUCUGACAAUAGAUACAGUGUAAUAAGUCUGUUGAUGAUGCACUUUAUCCUACUGAAUGCAAAGUGCUUGAGUGUCUUGAAAACCAAUUUGCAGGUUCCUUUGAGUUGCAGAUUGGAUCGAAGGUUGAGCAGAACAAAGAUGAAGAUGAUGGUGUGCAGCUGUUCCUGUGAAGCCCUUUCCUGCUUUUACCAGCUUUGAUGAGGAGCAUUGAUUAUGAGGGAUGAAGCUUCCUCUCUGCUUACCGUAACAUUUCAACAGCUUACAGUAUCUGCACUCCAACUCGUACCGCACUGCGCUGCGUAUAUAAUAACCAAUCUUUAAAGACAGCGGAUCUGCAUUGUGCUCCAUAAUCAGUUCUGCUGCGUAAAACGUGCGGUGAAAUGAACUUGUGGACGCAGAAAUUACACUGAAGCCAUAAUAUUGAUUUCAUUUCUCUCCGGCUGGUGCUGGGACUUGUUAAACAGGUGUCCGUUGAUGCUUUUGCAGAGUUAUUCCACGCUUUGCUGGUAAUGCAGAGGAAGAGUAAUGCGAGGAGACACAUCAAGGUCACCCUCUCCCCCUGCAGCCCCCGCAGAGGUGCAUCUUCACUGCCCCGCUGUCCCCGCAGCCAGCUGUGCAGGCCUGGAUGUGUCGGCCAGGUGUGAAUGAAUGUGAAGUAGCCGCAUGAAUGUGAAACAGGCUGUGACUGAUAAAGAACAUGAGGGCCUCGGGAAACUUCCCCUGAUGAAUAAAAUGUUAAAGGUGCAGUCUAAACAUCAAUAUAUCAAUGUCAGAGCAAUUAGAGCUCAGGAGAGCACAAUGGAGACGGCUGCCUGCAGCUCCGGCCUGCAGGGGAGCGCCUUUUAGAGGAUGAGACUAUUUUCAAAGGUGCUUUGUGAUUAAAGCUACGGUACGCAAUUUCUUUUAGAUGCAUUUUUGUAACAGUGUACUAUUUCAAUUCUCUAAAAACAGCAAUUAGUUAAUCAAAUUCUACUGAGGAAGAAAAGGAAAUGUGUUUUUUUCUGUGGCUGUUUAAUUAGAAAUGAUACUCUUGACUGCACACAGCUGCACACAUGUCAUUUUUGCAAGUCCAAGUCAAGUCUUGAGUGUUUGGUCCAAGUUUAAUGGUUGCUCCCAUAGACUGUAUAAACUAUGGACAACUUGGUUCCACCUUCCGUCAGUAUACGGAUUUGAUUCUGAAAAGCUCUCGAUAUUUCCGCGAUUUUUAUCCAUUUCCUGAAACCAACAUUGCACAGUCGUGUUGUACACACUCCACCACUUGCGCAGUAGCGUUGUGUGUAUUCGGCAGGGGAGUCACCAAGAGUCGCUGUGAUGACGCUCAGCUCAAACAGCUACACAACCUUUGUACGCCCGUAAGUUUUGCUGGCGGAGAUGGGAUUUAUGAUCUAUACUGCAGCCCAUCACCAGAGGGUGCUGUUCUCAGAGUGGCUAAAUCCAGGAAGGAGGCAGACUCUGUCCAUUCUAUAUACAGUCUAUGGUUGUUCCUUUAUUGAUCGAGGAUAGCACUCUUGUACGGAUUUUAAAAAAAGACUAAAAAUGGUCAGUCGAUGAGCUCAAGCGAACCUCCUAGUUAUGGUCCAUGUGUGAAAAGCUCUGUGCCGUUCCAGCAGCGGCUGAUGUGAUGCGGGAUGGUCAAGACAAGUCUUUAAGGAGCUGAGUCAGCACACUUUGCUCCUCCUUGCACAUGUAAGAUGUCCUCCACAGACAGGCAAGAAGAGAGCAGCAAGUUAGUUGCAGACCCCUGCGGAAUCCAUCACCACGAUUACAUGCACAGCUUAAUCUAAACGGACUAAUCUUAUAAUUCUUUUUUUUACGCCAAAUUGGACUUCUCUCCUUGUCAGGGUAUACAUGCAGCUGAGGAAAUCGAAUUAUUGACAUGAACGUGUCCUCCUCCCCAAAACUAGGGGGCGAUAUGGGUCUUUUCAGUGGCGCUGUUUCCAGUUGUUACCACAACAACAUCAGAAGUGUCUCCAACUGCUGCUGGGCAUUUUCGAGCAAGAAGACAGAGCAUCGUACAGCGUUGUUUUUGUCGUACAUGAUUUACGCGCUACUUUUCUGCAGAUGAAAUGCACGCUACUCCUCUUCUCUGGUGUUUUUAUUCCAGGGUUAUGGGGCGUGGUGCACGCACACAUGCAUUGUCCGAUCAUACUGCGACUAUGCCGGUUACAUGGUAGAGAAAAUCGAAUUCCAAUCGCAUUAUCUGGGUGUCUUAAUCAGAGUUCUUAAACUCCAAUUACGUAGUCAGAUGUUUACAUGCACUACAACUGUCGAGUCUUCAUUGAAGUAAGGUAAUAAUUUGGUUUUCUUGAGUGUCAUGUAAACGUACUGGAUGUCAUGCACAGCUUCUCUAUCAUGUGUUGUUUAAUUUUAGCCCUAAUAAGAAUCGUUUUUUUCUGGUAUAUCUGGUAUUUACAAUUUCUGUAAAUUGCUCUAAGUUGUGCUAAGCGAUAACUUUCUUCUGCACUAUUUCCCCGACUGUAAUGCCAUGUAUUAAUGAAAUAUAGUAUAAUCCAAGUGGUUAAUAUGCACAUUUCCUUAGAGUAAUCAAAAAGUUGUAAAAUUGUGUUGAAUUUAAAAGCAAAAAGAACAAAAAGAGGAGCUGUUAGGAAGAUGAAAGAGCCGACUCUGACUGCAGAGCUGAGCCAAAUGAUCUCCGUCACUAAAAAGAGGCAGAAUUCCCAUCGCCACCUCUUACUCAGCGUCUCUCAUGGGCCCGUCCUCCAACAUUAGUGAGGAAACGGGGAUUUUUUUCUGUGUUUGAGUUUGUAGUUGAACAUGUUCAAACUCCAAUUUCCCCAAAGUUGUCUGGCCUUGCUAGAAAAAAAGGGUGUUCGACUAUUUUUAGUUCCCCGAGUGUCUACAAGAGUUUGUCAGCCUAAAAAAUCCAAGGUCUAAAUAAUCUAAAAUUUUCAGUGAUGCAAUACAGAGAAAGGCAACAAUCCGAACAUUUUUUUAUAGAAACAAUUCAAAGAGCGAGAGAUAGUUGAUGAUUAAUUCAACAGUGUCAUAAAAACCUCCUUCAGCUGUUUGUCCUUCAGGAAACCUUACAUGUAAAUGAAAUCUGUCUGCACCAGGAAAUUCAGAAAGACUGCACAACAAGAGUGUUUAAUACUCAUCCUCAUCACCUGACUGUGUGAAAUACUUGAUUCUGAUUGGACAGAACCCCAUUACAACUUCAGACCCUGACAUGUAAAAUCAAUCUGCAUAAAGGAGUCUGACAAAUUUCACCUAUAUUUACUCUAGUUCCUUAUCUAUACAUGUAUAUACGGUAUAUAUGUAUGUAUAUGGUGUGUAUAUAUUAUUUAAAGCUUUGUAUUGGAAACUUGUUGAAAAGGAGGGACGUGACCAAGCAGCAAUAACUGGACUUGAGAAAUUAAACUGCAGUUCCUUGAGUGUCCACUUGGGGCUGGCUGCAGAAGUGCCAGAAACCACAUAGACACUCAUUCAAAAAAGCUCAUUUUUACUAAAUAAACAUGUUUGAAGCCUGGUUGAAACAACAAAAAAGGUUCUUUUAAGUAGAGAUGUUGUAAUAUUGUGAACGAAGAGGAAAUAUCAUAAUAGAGAUAAAAUUGUGUCAUUUGUGGAUUUAUGGAUAACUUGAAAGUAAAACAACACAGAUAGAACAAAGCUAACCCCUAUUUCCACCGCAAACGGAAAGGCAGAGAUUUUCGCCAUCUGCCAAUUCCUACCAGAUACCAGAUUUGUGAGGCUAAUUUUGGACAGCGGGAAUCACGAGUUUUAUGUUGUGUCUGAGCCUGACUUCCUUUCCAACACGGACUAAUCUGUGCUGAAUUUAUGCAGCAUGCUGCGACAUCCGGAAAAAAUAGAACUCUGGCGAUCGGCUGCGGAGUCCGCUGAACUUCAGCGGAACGGAAAGAAGCCAGUGGAAAUUGAUUCAGAAAUUUGAAUGGCCUAUUUGCAGCCGUCCUUGACAAGAGUCGAGUGAACAUAAAUUUAACUAAUAAAUACAAGUAUUUAACGUGUCAACAUCCAUCUCUAUUAAUAUUCAAAUUAAUAACCGUCAGUUGAAACUUUUCUUGAGUUGACAUUUCCUCACUAAACUGUUGGUCAUGCUUUUAUUUUGAAAUCUUCCGAUAGCGGUUUGGGUAAGCAGUAAAGCAAGAAGAGGGCUGGUGUAUUGUCAGCGGGUGGUUAUGUUGAUUAAAAUGACGACAUAAUGACACAUUAUCCUCGACAUAUCUCAAAGCUAGAGUCUCAGCUUUGACUGUUUGUGUUUAUUUGUGCGUUUAGGAUUAAUGUCCUUGUUUAUUUGCUUUGUCUCCUCUUCACUGCUGCUCUCAUACCCAGCUGCCCUCCUCUGUCCUCUGUCUCUAGUCGACCCCGGCACACUGCAGGCACACAACAGCGGUAUAUAAAUCAGUAUCCAUAAUUAAUAUUCCCUGAAGAAAGCCGUGCAGCCGAGCACUUCAUAUCUGUUCUCCAUUAUUAAGUUGAGAGUUAAUAAAGUCUCGUGGAGGGCGAUGCUGCAGCGAGGAAUCCUCUGUAUUGAUUGCACUUCGUUUCCAGCAGCUGUGAGUCACAAACAGGUGUCAGAUGAAAAUAUUUGUUUGUUUUUUUUUAUUCAGCCUGCUGUGUCUGCAGUGCGGAGGAAAAGGAGGAAUAAGAGGUUACACAUCAGUGUCACUCACUGUCAUCUCCAGCAGAGUCACAAACCAACACAUGGUGUGAUAUUCUGCAGUUUAGUACACACAAGAUCUCAAACAGGAGGGAAUAUCUUCAAAUCAUCUUUUUUUAUUCAUGUUCAUAUUUUUCAAAGCUAAAUCAAAAUCAGCUGUCAAUCAACAAGUGAGACUGAAUCAGCAUCUUUUAUUUCCAAUUUUGAUACUGUGAAAAAUCGAACAUUUCCUUUCUUGUCUGUAAUAUAAAAGAAAUAAUUUAGUUUUUGCAUUUUUAUUUGAAAAAAUGAUGUUUUGUAUUCAUAAGAGGGGAUUUUCAGGGUUUGUGCUAAUAGGUUUUGUUGCUUUUGUGAGUUAUAAAAAGGCAAAAUUUUAAAUUUCACUCUUUUUCAUAAGCAGCUCAAAAGUCUUCAUUUGGGUUUUGAAGCUCCAGUGAAGUAUCACUUUGUCCACAGGGGGCGCCAAAGUCAGUGCAAACCUAAAGUUCCACUUAAGAGCUUUAAAGUCAAUUUUUUAAAUUCAUAAUUAAGUCAAAAUUCUCAGAUGUGAGUUUUUUCUUUUCAGUGUUGGUUUAAUGUUAAUGUUGUUGAGGAUUUAUUCCUUUCUUGCCUUUCAUAUCAAGUAAUUUAGUUUAAAAAAUAAUUUAGUUUUUGCAUUUUUAUUUAAAAAAUUGAUGUUUUAUAUUCAUAAGAGGAAAGUGUCAGGGUUUGUGCUGAUGGGUUUUGUCGCUGUUUUGAGUUAUAAAAAGGCAAAAUUUUAAAUUUCCGUCUUUUUCAUAAGCAGCUCAAAAGUCUUCAUUUGGGUUUUGAAGCUCCAGUGAAGUAUCACUUUGGCCACAGGGGGCGCCAAAGUCAGUGCAAACCAAAAGUUCCAUUUAAGAGCUUUACAGUCUAUUUUUUUAAUUCAUAAUUAAGUCAAAAUUCUCAGAAGUGAGUUUUUUCCAUUCAGUAUUGGUUAAAUGUUAAUGUUGUUGUGCCCGAGUACUUCAUUUCUGUUUCAUGCUGCGACUCCAGAAUGACAAUGAAGCUCCCUGAGCUCUUCUGUGUCACUCUCUAAAAACAGCCUCCACGCUCAGAGGCAGUCGCGGCUCAGCGGUACAGCGGGUUGUCUCCCGAUCAAAGCGUUGGAAGUGCAGUCACAGCUCCUGCAGCCUGAAGUGUCCAUAGGCAAGACAUCAAACUGGAGCGCUGAUGGUCGCUUGGCGUGGCGUCCUCUGCCACCAGUGUAAGAAUGUGACACGAUGAGUGGUCGCGAAGGCUUACUCUCUGGUUGGAAAUUCUGAGUUUUGACCAAAAAUGCUUGAGUGUAGAUAAACACUAAAGAAAAUUAGAUUAUUGAAUUAAAUUUUUGCUGUUUUCUUUUGCAAAUCUUGAGUUUCCUUCAGUAAAAAAAAAAAUCUUGAGAGUUCCUGCAUCCUCGGCCAAACCCCAAAAUGAAGACGAUUAAAGGGAUAUUCCGGCGUAAAAUUAAUUUAGGGUCAAACACACCGUAACACCGAGUCAGAUACCCCCUUGAGAGAUGAAUGUUGUUUAGUAACGACCGCAGGAUAGCAAUAUUCAUCUCUCAAGGGCGUGUCUGACUCGGUGUUAAGGUGUGUUUGACCCUAAAUUAAUUUUACGCCGGAAUAUCCCUUUAAGACAGACGUAAAUGAAUCAUGCAACUAAGAGAUUUUUCCCCGUCAUGUAGAGUCAUGAUGAGAUUUGCGAGACUUUAACUGAGGAAAUAGACCUUUUUACAGAUAGCUGUUAAUAACAGGUGGUAGAAGGCCGAGCUACACAUCUGCAUCUACACCACACAUUGCUGAACUCAACAGGAACACAAUUUUGAGCUUUCCUCCCCGAAAAAAACGACUUGUUUUUUUACAGAUGAACCUCUAUUCCAGAUUUUAUGGAAGCCGGAUAAACCACAUUAUACUGUCUUAAUAGCGCACAAGAUUUAUCAUACAGACGUCUGUAGAGAAAAGAAGAUAAAUCAAAACAGCAAUCUGGAGAAGUUGGCUCAGACUACAAAAACAUCACCCUGUAGAGACGUGGAUGCUGGAGUUGGUUCUCAGGUUUGAUACUCUUCAUUGGUUCCUGCGGAGAACCGUGCUCAUGGUUGUUGUGAAGCGUCUCUUGGGAAACCGUCAUGUAAAGCAGUGACCCGAGCGAAAUGUGAAACAUGCACAGGGAGAGGAUAGCGAGUCCAUGGAGGCAGGUUUCAGGAGCUGGAGCUCAAACAAUACUUUAAUCUGUUCAUGUGGUGCAGAAAAAAAAUGUAAUUUGAUUGUAACUUGGUCUCAGAUUCAGAGCCUAAUGAGCUCCUUUAAAGAACAGAGACGUGAGCUCAACAACGUUUUGGCUGAACUGUAGAAAAACUCGGCUUCCUUUAUAGCGGCAGGUAGAAAAGGAUUUAGAGCACUGGAGGCGAGACCAUAUUGAAGAGUGAAUUACAAUUUCCAUCCCAGCUUGAGACACAUUGAGCCUAAGUCCCUCAGCAAUGUGUCUCAGUUGGAAAUAACAAGAGUAAAUCAAAAACUUGACGGUGGGUCUGGUUUCAUACGGUCUCGUUGGAAUCAAACACUUGUUUCUUUUAUUUGGAAGUGACAAUUCCAGCUUUCUCCCGCUCAGGAGGGAGUGUCCGUGGAAAGCUUUUGGUCAUGAUGCACGGGAAAGCUUUCAGCAUCCAUGAAAACCUCUCAAAUGCUUGUUUGCGCGCCUUUGUGCUCAGUACCUUUGGCAGAAUUUGAAUAAAUGGACAACUUCCAUUUCCACAGGUAGCCUUCCAGUGCUUCCAUUAGUCAAAGUGACUUUAACCCAAUUUCUAAUGCUUUUUGGCUUUAUUUAGAGAGGAAAUAGGAAGAGAAAGCAGGGAGUUUCACCUCAUGUUGGUGUUUUUCACAUUUUCAGUCACGUCCACCUCUACUUACUAAUCCCAGCAGUGUAAAAAUCCCUGCAGGACAAAUGAAAACAUUGAGGCACAGAGCAGAAUGAUAAUAGCUAGGACGAAGCAUGUUUGGGGAAAUGUGUUGAAUGUGAUCUCUAUUUUAUGUCCCAUCUGUCAUUCAGAAGUCCUACACAGCAGCCAAUCACCGGAGGGGACUCCAAAAGUUUGGCCUCACCCAGGAUAGUCGUUUCUCCAUCCAUGGUUUUUACAGCCGUUACCGUCAAAUCUGAAUUUUAUGUCUUUCACUCUUAAUUUACAAGUUUCUUUUACCCUCGAAAUUUGUGUAUGGAAAUUUCACAGUUAUCUAUAAACCCGAAUUGAGUCAAAGUCUGUCAUUCUUCCACCUUAGCGCUCGCUAUCUCAGCUGCCAAUGGCUACAUCUGACUUUUGGCUAAUCUGGAAACCCACGGGUCAGUUUGGCGAUAAAAUUACCUGUUCAACAGAAACUCUGCUGUCUCGGCGUCUGUUUUCAGGCCCAAAUCCUGGCGAAGCUUUCUUCACCGCUCGAAGGAUGACCUGAUGUUUAUUCCUCGCUUGGUCACAUUUCCUCUUCAUCAUUGCCCUGUGCGUUUUCUUCCUAAUUUGGCGUUGGGGCAAACAGAAGUGUUUUUUUUUUUUGUCCAUCACAGCUCCUGUAGCUAAGCUGCUACGCUACUUUUAGCCACUCAGGGCCAGGAGAGUGAGUGUGUCGAAUACAGCGAGGUGAUUGGAUGGAGAGGCGGAGCAGGAGUUUGACCAUUAGGAGCUGUCUGGGAUGCGAUAUUUUCAAUCCUGCCUCCUUCGCCUCUGAUUGGCUAGAAAAGCUGGAAAUGUCAUCUGACGCUCAAGCUCAAGUUAUCGGCUCUGUACAUCGAACACUCGCACUCCUGAACUUCCUAACCCGACAGACGUUUCACAGCCAAAAGGAAUAACCAAUCGGAGCCCAGCACUUCUAGCCAAUUAGAGGCAAAGAAGGGUGGGAUCUUUCCCUACCAUCCUACAAAAAAACCUUUCGCGUCCAGGAUGGAUGGCUCCCAUUGGUCAAUGUUUUUGCAGCCCUGCACAUGCUAGGGUGAACGGAUUUUUCCAUUCUUUUUUCUCUUCACUUUGUGGAGAUCGCACGACAGGAAUUAAUUACCAAUCUCUCCAAUCUUCAACCAUGCCUUUAAAGCUUCUUAAUUCAGCUACAAUCAAAGUGAAAGGGUUCGAAACAUGCAUCACCAGUUCCUCAUAUAUAAAGAAUACACCUACGAUGUGUUUCAGUGGAUGUAAAGUUAUUAAAAUGACAGACUUUUCCCACUUAAGAGACAUUUCCACUUUGAAGUGUUUCCUUUGUGUCCCAACCCACAGGCUGUGAUGAAGAAAAGCCUGAUGACUAAUACCUGUGAUGAGAUUUCAUUAUCAUGUAUGCCUUUGUUUAUCAGCGCUCACACUGAUGUGGGAGUCGCAGAGAAACAUGUUUGUCUUUUAUUGACGGAGAACACGCAGCAACAAAAAUAGAAAGCGGAGAGAGAGAAAGAACUCUUGAUUAUCAGCACGCUUUCAUGGAAACUUGGAAACACAUCUAACCGCACUGUCACCCACACAAACCCACCGAGAGGUAAAAAAAGAAAAGGCUCGACGCAGUCUGAGCGCGCACAGCCAAUUAAGUGGUUUGUGUCUGGAGGCUCCCAGGACUCCCGAGGCUGCGCGAGUUGUCGGCUAAAACAGACAUCAGCGUUCGUGUCGGAUACAGAAACGGGAUGAAAUUCCUCAGACUUGGACGCUCAGAGCGGAUUUGUCGAGCAAAAUCAAACUGGAACACGCGGGGCGGCGGGCGCCAUGUGGUUUUCCUUUUGAUUCAGCAGCUGCCGUAAACAGAUCAACACGUGGAUGUUGCCUCCAUGACGUCACUGAUAAGACGGCUACUCACUUCUAUAGAAACUAGAGAUGGAGAUAAAACGAAGGCCGUGGAGAAGUUUGACUGCUGCUGCUGCUCCGAGUUUGUUGUUGUUGUCGACACGUUACACCCUGAUCUUGAACUGUUACCUUCAGAGCCUGUAGGUGUAAAAGUAAUAAAUGAAAGCUUUCUUUCCUUUUGACCUCGACCACACCGCCGAACAAACAACCACCUGAGCCUGGCCCCGAUGAUCCAGCCUAAUAUGAAGUAUUUCACACUCCCUCUACUCUUGUUUUCUCCUUUAAGCCGUCGAUCUUUGACACGGUUUCAGAAGGUUUGGUAUUAUUCUGCAUAUUUCAGUUAAUUUGAGGGGAGGAUUUUAUCUUUAAUGGCAGAUUUUUCCACUCAAAGCUCUGGAGACGGUCUAAACGACAAGUCUUUGAAAUUCUUCCUUUUUGUUUAUUUCUGACAAGUUUUGCUGCAACACAUAUUUUCUACCUUUGAAGGACCGACGAGAAUCCUUUCCAUCACUUUUCUUGUUUGCUUAAAGAGAAAUAAAAUAAUAAACUUUGCUGAAAAUAUGGCUGGAGUGCAAAGUCUAUCAACACAAAAGGCGUGCUAAUUGUUGUUCCCUCAUAAGUUUUCAGUUUUUAUUUUAUCGUUUUGUUCUUUAAAGAAAGAAGACACGCUUUGUCAAGUUAAAAUGUCUCGCUUUGUCCAAACAAACAAUUAAAAGUACAAAAAUAUUGAAUUGAUGAGGAUGUAAAACAAAGAAAAGCUAUUUAGACCGAUGGUUCAUCAUUUCCACCCCUGAAAAAUCAAGAUGCAAUGACUCCAGCUCAGUUUGUCCUCUUUCUCUGUCACUGUUCUCCGUCGUUAUUAUCGAGUUUUUCAAUCCCCCCAAAAAAAUCCCAACUGUUCCCAAACUCUAGAUGAAACUGACCACUGGUGUUGUUGUAGUUAUUAUUGAGUUUUCAAGCCCUCAGUUAGAGAAAAAAAACAAAAAAAUCUCUUUUCCUGCACUGUCACAGGAAAGUCAAUUGAGCUGCGUGAGGACAGUUUGCUCUGAUGUCGCGGUGGGAACUGCUGAUUGUUUGCUUUACCACCUGCCGUCUGAAGCCUGGAGAAGAUUGCCAGCCUCCUGCUGUGGAGUGCUGCUGAGUGAGUGAUGGCUGUAUGUGUGUGCGUGUCAGAAAAUAUCUGCGUGAGUGUGUGUGUGUCUGUAAGGAGGAGAUGUAUGUGUACGAGUGCAGGGAGGACUUUUCUGUAUGUAUGACCGAGUGUCGGGGUGGAGGAGUUUUUAGAGUAACUUUAAGUUCAGACUGAGACUCAGACAAGGUUCAAAAGAUGAAGUUGGUGGGUCGGUGUUGGUCUGUGCAUGUUUGCGCUUUUUAAAAAAAUUUUCAUUAAUAGUUUAUUUUUCAUUUUCAGUGUCUGUGCUUCAAUUCUUACAUUCUUGAAAGCAAAUUUUCAAAGCACCUUUCUUCAAAACGAUUAAAAAUCAAAGGUCCCAACUCUGUUAGUAAACGCUCCUAGUCCCUUGGUCGUCAUGUUAGUAAAAACAUGUGUUUGAGUGUUUAGUUAUAACAGCGCUUCUGCCUACCGGACACACUCAAGCAACUGCUUAAAAACUUUCUUAAAAACCCCAAAUGGAGUAAAAGUGAAAGUUAACUGUAAUAUAUAAUCUUUUAUUACUUUUAGAAACAGAAAAUACAUUUUUGGAAAGUGUGACCUUAUAGUUCCACAUUCACAAUAAUUGUGUACGAGUGUUUAUAAUCUAUUUUUAGUAAAACUUAAAAUCAAAUUCAAAGCAAUUUUAUGGAAAAAAAACAAAACAUCGAAAGCAAACGUUUUUGUUUGAUAUUUGAUCCUCUAAAAUGACUAGAGGCAGAAGUCCUAACUUUAAACAUUUGCUGUAAUAGUCCCUGUUUGUACUCUAGAUGUGUGUAUGAGUGUGUUUUGUUCUCUGUCAUAGUGAUGCAGGAUUGCCAAGUUUCAGAAACUGACAAGAGUGAGACUUAAGCGUUAUGAUGUGUUCGGUCAUCGGUGAAAAAAAAGUGGCUUUUUUUAAUGUCAAUUUAUACCUUAAGACUGAUGUCCUCACCUCCAUGCCAGCAGCUCUCCCUAAGGCUCAAAGUCUCAAAUAACCACAAAUUAGAAAGUGGUUUUUAAAUGUCGGCGAUGUUGUGUGUGAAAGAUAGUUAGAGACGCCAAGACCUGCCUUACGUUGCUUCUGAUUUGCCUUCCAUGGUUGGUUCGAUUUAGGCACAAAGGACUGAUGGAUUGGUCUGGAAUUGGUUAUCUCGGUCAGUCAAACAGAGUUACUCGAACUACAACAAGCCAAGAUUAUUAUCAUGAAAAAAUAAAUGCAGAGUGUUGAAUGGGGAAAAAUAAGCAGGACAAGUGUCAACAAGAGUGGCGUUUGGUAUGAGAAUGGGUCAAAUUGCGUGACUGUCACACUCAAAUGCUUGGCAGCUCUGGUGACGUCUUGAUAGAAAAAAAAACUACUAAGAUGAUAUUAAUGAUUUUAAAAUAAGAAUUUAAACUCCUGAAAUCAGAGGUCCUGACUUUGUAAUUUUGUCCAAACAGUCUCUCAUUUGUUGUAAUGGUACGGGACAUUUUUUCAGAAUAAAAGUCUUCUAAGCAAUUUCUCAAAUUAAAAGUGAAAGUUUUUAGGUAUUUUUUCUUUAUAUUUUAAAAUGACCAAAAACUAAAAGUCCAAUCUUAGUCAGUGUGGUCAAAUCUGUCCCAUCUUAAGGUUGGGUUUUGGUAAUUCAUCAAACAAUGAGCGUGAUCUAGACCUGCUCUAUUUGGAGAGCGUCUCGGGAUAAUGCGUGGUUGUGAUUUGGCGCUAUAUACAUAAAAUUUGAUUGAUUGAUUGAUUGAUUGAUUGAUGGUCCUCAGUAUAGGCAUGUAUGAGAGGGUGUGUUUCUCAACUGUGAGGCUGUUGUCAAGUGUUGUCAAAAAUGGAGAGUAAAAAAGGAUUUGAAGAACAAGACAUCAACUGACACUGACCGACAAACACACACAAUGAACCAACAAGACCGAGGAGAAGACAGGGACUAUAUACACACACUGGGAAACGAGCAACAGGUGAGGCAGACGAGACACAGGUGAAACUCAUGGGUGAUUAACGAAGGAGGGAAAACUGAGGAGGAUAGACGACUUCAAAAUAAAACUAGAAAAAUUGCAUUUCCUUGCAGAAAAUGCGUGGAAAUGCUGAGUGCUGAAAGCUGAAAAAGCAAUGCUAAACUGCUAAUAAAACAUGGAGAAAGGUAUAAAUGUUAAAGCUGUUGAAGGGGUGAAAAAGAAAUAUAAGUUGGAUAAUAGUUUAAUUGGUUGAAGGACAAAUAGUAUGAAUAUGCUCUAUAAAAGGAAAUUUUAUUCAUGCUGAAAGAGGCUAGAAAAAUGUCUAAAAUUGCACAAAGUUUGAAUGAAGAAGGAAACUGCCUUUAAAGGCAGGAAGGUGAGAAGUGGCAUAAGUUUAAGUUGUAGUACUAGAAGAAGUAUGAUAAGAAGUCAAGUCGUGAUACUAGUAGUCAUGUCAGCAGUAGAAGUAGAUUGAGAAUAAAAGAAGUAUAAGUCAAAGUAGUAAAGAAAGUAGAAAUAGUAGCAAUAGCAGCAGUAGAGAAAGUAGAAAUAGGAGCAAUAGCAGUUGAAGUAGAGGGGAAAGUUCUAGUUUAAUUGACAUAAGUAGUUGUAGUACUAGAGGUAGGAUUUUGUUUGAAGGACGGAUUAAUGCAUAAAUAUUAAAAAUAAUAUAAAACAGGGAAAAUUUUAUUAAUUAAAAAUCCUCAAGUAUCAGAAAGUUUUUUAGUAUUAGAAAGGUUUGAAUCAUUUUGAAUGAGUUUAAAUUAGUUUGAAAAAUUAAAUGAUAAAUCAUCACUGAGUGACUUUAAAAUGUGAAAAAUUUAAAUGAAUAUAAAUCCUAAAUACACCCCAUAAUGUCCUCAAUGAGCUUAAAUUUUAAAGCCCUGAAUGGUUUCUGUAGGUCAAAGGUCAUGUGAGGAGAUAGGGGCUGAAGGUUUUUCAAGCGCUCUGGGAAAGGGUUUUAAGUGUCAUCCCCAGUGCUAUGUGUACUGAGCCUGGCUUCAUGUGUCUCAUAUGGCCAUUAGAAGCAGCUUUCCAGUCAGCUGUGUGUCUCCAGGUGCACAAAUUGGUUGCCAUGGGGACCUUGGAUGAAUAACUAUAGCAGGAGAAAGAAGGCUUGAAGCUAAGGAAACAGGACUCCAAGUAGGCCCUGACGCUCAUCCUCUGUAUAAAUUCAUAAGGAGCUUGUGAGAACACAAGAUUUUGCUGAACACAUUAAUACAAUUUAUUAUCACAAUCCUCAAAACACCCCAUAAUAUCUUCAAUGAGCUGAAUUUUUCAAGCCCAGAAUGGUUUCUGUAGCUCAAAGUUUGUGGGUGGAGAUAGGUGGUGAAGCAGACACAUAUUAUCUGUGUGUACAAGCAGGUUAACUGCAAGGUAGACCUGACAAUGCAACAAGUACAAGAAUGUGUGUGUGUGUGUGUGUGUGUCUCAUUAAUGACUGCAUCCCUAACAGCUGUGAGAUCAAAGGCAAAUCACUAACCUACUGUUUGAAUGACAAGCAGCUGAACAGCAGAGGAUUUGAAGCCUGUGAACUUCUUCACAUAGCGUGAUUUCCUUAAGUCCCAGAAUGAAAAUAAGAACAUCGUAUGAAUCCUCCGUCCUUCAUGAACACAAUGAUGUGUUUUUCAUGUCUGUACUUCGAAAAAUGAGGCCACAACAGCGAGUUAAAAAAGUCUGAGCCUGAGUGACGAUAAGGAUUUUCUUGGAGAAGAAAUACAUUAGGGCCAAUGGGGAGAUAUUUGCGCCUAUCUGGACAGUUGGUCACCUGCUGGCCAAGGGGUACGAUUUAAUGAUUUGAAACCUCUUUUGUGAGAAGCAGGACACAUAUACCUCCAUUUUGAUGUAUUAUUUGUGUCAGUGGAGUGAGAUUUGUGGGCGUGGGAGCGAUAUAUUCGAGCGAGGUUCUGUCGAUCAGAGACGAGGUCUGCACUCUAGCUCAUGACAUCAUCACUCUAAACUCUCCAAUACACACCCAUUAUAAAGCUUGAAAUUUGCUGAAAACCACAAGUUGCAUAAAGCUAAAUUGUGGAAAAACUGUAAAAGAUAUCAAAAAACUGAGUACAACUAUAAUAGUCGACAAGUGAAUGAACAUUUUAAAGCAAAAAUGAGGUCUCUAGGUGAAAGUAUGCUGAAGUUAUAAGGUCUAGAAGGUGGAAGAAUGAAAGGAAGAAGUUGAAGAUUUCCCCAUUGACUUCAAUGUUAAAAUUUUUGCACAAAAAGUAAAAAAAACCAAAAAGUAUAAAGGGUAGAAAGAAAAAAAAUGGAAGCCAUCAUGUCCUGAAGGAGUGGAAUAGUUUAAAGUUUGAAUGGUUGAAAUCGGACAAAGUUUGAAGGAGGAGAAGCGGUCCAAAAAAUGGCGGAAGAAAAAUAAUAAUAAUAAUAAUAAUAAUAAAGAAAAAUGGCCGACAGGAAUAACAAUAAGUGGAAAUGCUUAAUCAGCAUUUCCACUUAACUAAAGAAUAAAACACCGAGAACAGGAGGAAAACGGUGAAACACAAACUAUAAUCCCACAAGACAGGAUCUCAGGAAGAAAAACUCAAUUAACAAAACCAGGAAAAAAUAUAUUUAACAGAACUUAUCAUGACAGCUGUUUCCUGAAAAAAGAUUGUUUUUGAGCUGCAGUAGUUGAAAGAUUUAUUUAAAAGUAAAAAUGGACAGAAAUACAGGUCUUGACACGGUGCAGCCUUAUAGUUCACUCUGUGUGGUAUAUAUAAAUAUAUAUGUAUGUGUGAGUGUGUGUGUGUGUGUGUGAGUGCCAGAAAUCUUUCAUCACGGGGGGUGGACGAGGCGAAGAUGGAAAGAGACUUCGACGAGGCAGCAAAAGCAACAACAGCGCAAUCUCUGUAGUCUAUGAGUCUGAAAUUGAAUUUGCGCGUCAAACCUCCUCACCUGCCAUGUCACAGCGGGUCACAUCAUUCCAGCGCUGUCGGUGUUUUAAUCUCCGAGCCACUGGUGAACUCCUGCUCGCGCGUCCCCCCAGCUGACCUCAAAAUGGCUGCAGCUGAGCCAUUAAACUGUCUCAUCCUAUUACAGAGCCACUUUAUCUGACACAUGUGGUCGUACUCAGCCGUGGACGGGCGCUACCUGCUCCGUGGCGCCUUUUAAUGCACUCUGAUAGCAGCUAUCAUAAUGCUUAAAUGUCUUAAUAAGUGUGCAUGAAGGGGUCGUUUCUCCCCUCUCACUUCUUCUUCUCCUCUCGCUUAUUUGUCUUAAUUUCUGUCUGAGCCGGCGCCUUUCUCCAGUCAGUCCAAUCAGUUCACUUUGGUUUCUGUUUUCAGUCGGGGGGCAGUUUAAUUUAGCUCGGUUCAAUUCAAUUCAACUUGACUUGAAAUAGGUUCAGGGUUAGCCAUUAAGAUAAGUGAAUCUGAUCCAUGUGGGAACAACAAACAAACAGGAGCGGACUGAUGCGAUUGGAGCGGACACAGUUCAGGUUAAUAUCUUUUAUUCAGACAACAAAAUAUCUCGUCUGAAUGUAGAACAAACCGAUUUAUGACGAGACGAAAGCAAAGCAGGAGAUGAUCUCUGAAUAACCUCAUCAGGUAGAAAGAAAACAUGACAGAGUUGAUCUUUUUCAGUCUCAACAGCCUUGACUCUUGGUGUUUUUAAAAGUUUAGGCCGUUUGGACGAUGUUUACAUCCUGUCGUUUUCACAACAGCGAGAAAACAUCCAUCCCCACACCACUGCUUCAUUACAAACACUUUUAUAGAUCUAAUUCUCUAGGACCAGAACCAUUAAACACCCCAGCAAGUCCCUUCUCUCCAACUCGACCACAUUAUUGCUUGUUCCAGCCUUAGAAAUGACAGACAGGAGCGUUUCCCUACAUUAUUCAGCAGACAACACACCUUAAACUUUAAUGGCAGCGCGGGUCAACACAGACAAGCAGGACUAAGGCCUAGAAAACCUGGUUCAGGUUGUAAAACAGAUGCAGUUGGGCACAAAACUUCUCACAGUUGACAGCACUCAAAGCUCUUAGGAGGGACUUUUGGUCCACCUGCUCCUGAAGACCAAACACAGCCUGGAUGAGCGCUGACAUAUUGUGUUGAUGGUCUUUAUCACUGUCACGAUUUAUCACUGAUGACCCAAAACUCAUAUUAAAAUAAAGGUGUGUUCCAUUUACCCUUGAAGUCACAUGACAGGGCUGGGGAUGAUGUCAUACUUGAGUGGACCGAGUUCCAGUCAGAAAGUUUUGAGCCUUUUGAGCUGAUGCUAGGAGAUUGUCGCUACCCGAUCCGUCCCAGGAAACCGGUUUGUUCUGCGCAUGUGCGAAACGUAUGUAACUUCCUCUCUUGGCAUUUCGAUGUAUUUUACGGCAGUGAGUCGCUACUUACCCGAUCCGUGCUAAGCAAGUGCAAAUUUACUUCACCUUCAAAACUUUAUUUAAACUACCAAUCGAUUCAGAAACCAGCUGGCGAUGUGACAGGCUAGUUAGCAGGAGGCUCCAGAGCUAAUGCCGAGGCUUUCGCCAGAGCUCGUGCCCAGCAGGGUGAGACUUUUUGGGCCAGAGAGUGCCACCACCCAGCCAAAAUUAUGGUUCUCUGACUUUUUGAAGAAUCAAAUAGGGAUGCUCUGGAGGUGUGUGGCCACCCAUUUUGCACCCUUUCUGGGCCAUGGAGAGCGCCACAACCCGGUCGAAAUUAUGGUUCUCUGACUUUUCUAAGUAUCAAGGGGGGAUUUAUUCAUUUCAUUCAUUUUAAAAAUCGAAUUUAUUAACAAGAAGCCUACACAUUAUGGACAAUGAAUUUCAGCGUACAAUUUCAACACUGAAAUAUUCAUGUUCAUUCAAGCCUUUAUUAACAACGUUGCAAUUUUACAAUUUAGCUGGAGUAGGAACCUGCACACUGCACACACUCAGGACAAAUCGGGUUUCAAGGACGGGUAGCGACAGUGAUGACAGUACACUACGUAAUAGGAUCGUGAUAACAAAUUGACAAAGAAUUUGCACAAUGUCAUCAGAUGAGGGGGAUACCUUACAGUUCAAACUAGUUGGGUAUGUGAAUGAGGUGAUGCAAACUAAGCCAACUGUAUACGCGAUUGAUGCAAAUUCGUGACAUGUUUAACACGCUACCCGCUUCAAUCUGAACUAAACAAAAGUACGCAUAUUAACACUUUUAACAUUAUAGGCAGCCAUUGUUUACAGGCUCGCCACUUUUAAGCAAACCUCUUCUCCUUGAAUGGUGCUGAUUGCUUUGGUCAGUCUUCAUCUGCAAAUAAGCCAAUCAGCUUCAACCUUUGCAAGAUUACAGACAUGCAACAGGGUUCACAUUACUAACAAAUACUAACCUUAUCUGGAAAAAUAUAGAAAAUAUCAAAUACUUUACUGAUGCCGACCUUGUUGCUUGUUGUGACGAACUUGAACGUCCGUCCCAAACCAAUUAAGCCCAUCAUAAAAAUGAAUUGCUUUAAUUUCAACAGGCUGAUUGGACGCUCAGUGGGGGGAAAUAUCAUGGAUUCUGAAUGUCCGGCCGUCCACCAUUAACAUUUAAGCCCGUCGUGACUCAUUCAUGAAAACAAAAGGUACAUCCAUCAGAGCCUUUGCAUUAUUAGCUCGCCAUCAUUCCGGCUUUGUCAUGGGAAAUUAAAAUUCGCUGACGAACGUUUAUCGCCGUAAUAUUCAUUAACAAAAUAACCGCUAAAACGAACCCUUGGCCGCACUUUUCUUAGUCAUCAGGAGCCCCGACAAGCAGUUCACACAGUCGACCUGCACGACUCGGUUUUCUACUCUCCAACCUGUUGUGGUACAUCAAUGCUGACUCGCCAAAAAGACACAAUAAACUAAAAAGAGUCAUAAAAGCAGAUAAAUCCCUACCUCAAAGACACCUGAUUGGCCUUCAGGGACUGUUUGAACAAAGAUUUAAACUGAUGACAUUUACUGCAGUCAUAAUCUUUACUUCCAGAACAUUUGCAGAGGAAAGUGUGUCUGAAAGAGGCUUUUGUGUCUCACAGUCUCAUCGUCUUUAUUGCUUCGGUAUUUCUCUCUCUGCACAUUUCUGUCUCGGAGUUUAUCUUCCACUCUUUAUCUUCCUUCUCUGUUUUUAUCUCCGUCUCUUUGUCUCCUCUGUCUCACUCUCUCGGUUUCUUUGUCUCCGUUUCUCUCUCUGUCUCUCUCCUUUCUUCCUCUCCCGUGGCGAUCUGUCCCUUCUUAAUCCUUCGGUGAAAAUUAAAAUCUGAAUGCAUUCAAUUAGCCCAUCAUCUCAGUCUCCGCUGCCUUUCUUUCUUCUUGCUGCUUGACUUCAUCCCCCAGAGAAUCCCUCAGCGAUCAGCAUAUAAAAGGCUGUCCAGCGGUAACAUAUAAUAGUUAUAUCAAUCAGGCGUUGCCGCUCACCUAGCUUUGAAAUGGUUUUGACAGUAAUUGAUGCCUGAGUCUGCUGCAGUCACGCACAGGCACUCGGGGAGCAGUUCUGCCUUUGUUUGCCACAUGCAAUUGCACCAUUAGGGAGAGACUCUUCUGUUCUUAAACUUCGCUCACGGAUUGUUGAAAACAGAUGAAAUUUGAGGAAAACAACCAAGUGUUGUUGAAAGGUCUCUAUUUUUCCUGCAGCCUGAGAGGUCUCCAAGUGCCGACUCACUUGUUUGUUUGUUGGCACGAUGCGGCGCCGUCAGUGCUUCUCCUUUCCUUGCCGCUCUAUCCCGACUUAAUGGGACGCUAGAGGAUAAGGGACAGCAGGCUGAGCGUCCACUAACCGGAAAGGACCUGAUCACACUCCUGUCUGCUUUGUUUAUUCCAAAAUAGCUCCACCUGCCUCCUCUCCCGCUCUGUUUACCUUCAUCUGUCAUAUGUGAUCCCCAGAGGCUCGCAGAUGCUUCAGGUAUACUCCUCCAUAACGAGGAAAUAAGAUUGGAGUGACAUUUAUUGUCAUUUAUCUCUGGGACUUUUUUUCAAUAUGUCAGCAUGAAAUAAGACCGUCCUCAUCGGAGAUGCUUUCCUACUCACUUAUUUUGAAAGACUGUCUCCUUCUGAAACGGUGACACUGAGACCCAGAAGCCUCUUCCAAACAUGUGCAGAGCUCCUGAAAUUUCCCAACGCUGACUGAGUGAAGUUCAAGUGUGGUCGCAAACCUGUUCACACAAACUGUAAGGGGACUUUUUCAUGCCAGCCCCCCCGAGGAAGAAGAAGAAGAAGAAGAAGUCUGGGAUGAGCCAAAGUGUGAUGGCGGCAGGUAAUAGUCUGUAAUAAUCACUGUGAGCAGGUGGACGCCAACCUUCGCCGUGACUCUGCACAAUUUGAGAGUUUUUCUGCUUAAAGGGAUAGUUCGUGUUCUAUAAUACAGUCAGGUCCAUAAAUAUUGGGACAUUGGCACAAUUCUCAUCUUUCUGCCUGUAAACGCCACCACAAUGGAUUUGAACUGAAACAAACAAGAUUUGCAACCAUGUAUUGAAAAGUGAAAGUUUGAUUUCUGAUUUUUAUUACUUUUGGUCCCUUAAAAAGUGGAAAGCACAUAUAAAAACUAUCAUAAUUCCUACACAGUUCACCUGAUUUGGAUGUAAAUACGUUUAUAUUAAAGCUGAAUGUCUGCAGUCGAAGCACAUCAUGUAUUGUGCCGAUGUCACGAUAUUUAUGGACCUUUGUUGACUGGCACAAUGACCACACUGCAAACCUAAGCUGUAAGUGAUACUUAACUCCCGGUGCUCUAACCUCACUACUGCAUCCAAACUCUUUUAAAGUUGUCUCGUCUUGUAGGAGAUGCAUUGUUGCUGCUGCUGCUGCUGCUGUGCAUACUAAACCCGUGCCGUCCCUGCAAGCAGACUGAGAUGAACUGUCUGCAGAUCCAAACCACUUUGCUCCAAAAGUUGCUCCAGAGUCGGAGCGGCUCCUCCUGCAGCAGACUGACAGAUAAUUGCUACAGAGACUCAUGUGUCCCCACAGCUAUCAGACUGCAACUUCACAGGCCCCGAACAGACACCACUAACUGGGCAGAGCAGGACAACCGGACACGGACCGAGAUAGUUCAAUUAUCUUCACUCCUUUUUCAAUCCCUCCAUCUAUUACAUCUCUUUGUCUGAACUGCCUCCAACUCUAUCUAUCUAUCUAUCCAUCUAUCUAUCUAUCUAUCUAUCCAUCUAUCUAUCUAUCUAUCUGUCUACAUACCUACCUUCCGAUCAAUCUAUCUAUCUGCCUACCUACUUAUCUGUCUAUCUAUCAUCCAUCCAUCAACCGACCUACUUAUCUAUCUAUCUAUCUACCAAUAUACAAAUCUAUCUACCCACCCACCCACCUUUCUAUUUAUCUAUCUAUCUACCUAUCGAUCAAUCUAUCUACCUAUCUAUUAUCCAUCAACCGACCUACCUACCUACCUAUCUAUCCAACCACCUAUCUAUCUAUCCAUCAAUCCAUCGACCGAUCUAUCUAUCUAUCUAUCCAUCCAUCGACAGAUCGACCUACCAACCUACCUACCUACCUUCCUACCUAUCUAUCUAUCUAUCUAUCUAUCUAUCUAUCUAUCUAUCUAUCUAUCUAUCUAUCUAUCUAUCUAUCUAUCUAUCUAUCAUCUCUCUAUGUGUCUUUAUCACUCUAUCCACACAUCCCUCUUAAAUUUCUAUCCCUUCGUCAAUCUCUGUUUUUCUCUACCGUGACACGUUUAACUUCAGAUUACGGUACAGGAAAAAAAGUAGUGAUCUAGAUUUUUAGAUGGUGUUCCUGACCGGCCUACGUCACUUCGAGUGUCCCCUCAGUCGUCACCGCUGUGGUUUGAAUGCAGACAGAAUAAAAGUCUUCGAGGUGUGGAGUUCUCAGUUGGGUCCCUUGUGAAAAGUUCCUUUUCCAAAAGUCCCAGAACUGUUGGGUCUGAAAAUAACUAUUUUUAUUGUUUAUGAGUCUUUCCGGUUAUUUUUAUCACUUAAUAUCCUCUACCUUACAUCUGCCCAUCUCUCUUUCUCUGUCUCUCUUCUAUCCCCGCUCUCUAUUUAUAACUUAGCCAACAUUUGCAUCUCCAUACGCCUUUCUUUCCUCCGCAUCUCUUCCUCUCUUUCUUCCUCAGGAGCUCUGUCAGAAUUAUUAACCCAGAGUUUCUCUCUUUUUAGUUUUGAUUAUUUUCAAACAAGUUAAUGGUUUUCAUGUGUGCUGCUAAUACAGUCAUUAAUCAUUGAAGCUCUGGGCAGUUUGAAGCUUAAAAAAGAGAUUUUUUUUUUUUCACAGAGUAAAGCAGGGGAUGAACUGAGCAUCACAGAUUGCCGAUAAGACAGCGUAACGGAGGGAGGAUUUGCCCUUUAAAUUAUUAAAUCUUGUUAACAUGUCUAGCCUUGGGUUUCUUUGUCUUGCUAAUUUGCUAAUGUCCCCGUACACUGGAAAGUCAUGUUUCUGCCUCACAGGGAGGCAGUUUUUCUAAAUCCGAGCCUGUAGUCAGAGACUCUCGGGAUGUUCUGGGCUGAGAUGAAAACUCUCCUGAGGAGCUGCUUCUGCUGGAGCUUCCUGUUGGAUCUGCAUACUGCUGCACGGCUGAAUUAUACGUCUGACUCAUUAGAGCCUUUAGUGUUGCUCACUGAAGCGGGGAAGCCUCAUAUUUCCCUCUCUCUCUCUCUUUUUGCAUUUCUGAAUUUUGUCGGUGACAGGAAAAGGACAACAUGUCAGAGGAUCCAAACCGCAGAUGACGUGUUCGCAGCAUCUUUAACUCUGCCC
rnacentral:lncRNA from 1 species